ACCUGAAUUUUCGUACAUUGAGACCCCUAUACCUACCAUGCAUGAGGUGGGGACUCAUUAAGCUCAAAGUGGUCGACGCGCCGAGCGCUCAGGUAGGACAGGUACCGAUUUUGACGGAUUUUAAAUCCAUUUGACCACGUCUGCCGUUUUGAAAUUUUGAAAAUAUAUGAUUAUUAUUAUCGGAAAAUAAGAAUGGCAGACCAUUAUCGCGCAUUUUACUUUGUGGCAGACCACUUUGAAAAUGCUAAAUUGCAUUGAAAAUGCAAAAUUUUGAAAGUAAUUGACUAGAUCAGCCAUUGAUUUAAUAAUAUGUUGUUUAUUAUAGUCUUAAAAAUUUAUAUUGAUCACGGCAGACCUCUACAUUGCGUACAUACAUCAACAUAUAAUAAAAUCUUAGCUACUACCCGGCCAGAUGUAUAUUAUGUUUUCCGUUCACUGUUUUAGAGGAAUAUAAUUUACUUGCGAUUUACUUUAGCAAUGUAUUUACCGAAAUUAAUAUUUUUUUAUAUUCUAUAUACUAAACUUCAUUAGUUAGACAAUAAAGAAGUGAAUUUUUUAUGGAAUAAUUAUAAAUAAUACGGUAUAAUGCUGAUCAAAAAAUAAUUCAAUUCCUCAUUUUUAUCAUUCAACAUUUAACUUGCCAGCUAUACAAUGCCAAAAAAUCUAGUGAUGUAGAUGAUGGAAGGUUCCAGCUAUUCGUUAGCAACUAUAAAUAUUCAGACAUCAAUGAAAAUUAUAGAAAAAAAAAUCAAAAAUUUGAGGCAAGCUCAAUACCACCGCAUAAGAGUGAGCUUUAUCAACAACUUUUGAACGCCCACUAUAUUUCUUCUAUUUGGAGAAAUGCUUACAAAAAGCAACUCACAACUUUAGACCCAUUGGAGUAUGGUUGGAUUGAGCAGGACAACAUAUAUGCCUUCAAAGGGUUCGAAGGUGACCAACUUCCAUAUUUUGUGAGUGACUUAAUCACCAAUGUUCCUGUAUUCGAUUCAAUGGUUGAUGAAGACGAGUCGCCUAACGAUAAAGAUGACUCCGAUGAUGAUGAUGAUGAAUGAAGAUUGAUAUAUAUAUAUAAUAUGUAAUGCAUGCAUGAUAUAUUUUUUUAACUGAUUUAACACUUUUAAAUUUUGUCUUGACGAAAUAAAAAUGAGGAAUUGAAUUCUUUUUUGAUCAGCA